CGGAAUGCUAUACAGCAAAAGAUUGUUAAAGCCCUCAGAGAAUAUCGUAAUCUUCACUCGGUGCAGCAUCGGUUGGGGUCUAGAUUAAUAUACCCAGAGUCUCUGAAGUUCUUGCCAUUGUACGGAUUGGCAAUUUGUAAGUCCACACCUCUUCAUGGUGGACCAGCUGAUGCUUCACUUGACGAACGAAGUGCGGCAGGCUUCACCAUGAUGGCCCUGCCUGUCAAAAAGCUAUUGAAGCUGUUAUAUCCCAGUUUAUUCCGUGUUGACGAGUGGCUCUUAAAGGUUUGUGCUUCUCUAUCUCAAUGUACAUCUUUUCAGAAAAUUCAUAAAAUCAUUAAUGAAUUUGACAUGUUUGCAGCCAUCGGCAGACCAUGAUGACCUCAAGGACGUAUUGAGGAGAUUGCCUCUGGCUGCAGAGAGUUUGGAUUCUAGAGGCCUUUACAUUUACGAUGAUGGGUUUCGAUUGGUGUUGUGGUUUGGCCGGAUGCUUUCACCUGACAUUGCUAAAUGUCUUCUUGGGACUGACUUUGCAGCAGAGCUCUCAAGGGUAUGCUCUUUCAUCCACAUACAUGUUAAUUUAUUAACCAGCGUUACAUCUAAUGAUCUAUUUGCUUCCAUACUAAUUCCUCAGUCUUUCUUUGUGGUGGAUCUUUAGGUUACACUGCAAGAACAAGAGAAUGGGAUGUCGAAGAAGCUAAUGAGGCUGAUAAAGAAAGUGAGGGAUAAUGAUCCGUCAUACCAUCCCAUGUGUUUGCUAGUGAGGCAAGGAGAACAACCCCGAGAAGGCUUCCUUCUCCUCAGAAAUCUCAUUGAUGACCAGAUGGGCGGUUCGACUGGUUAUGUUGAUUGGAUGCUGCAACUUCACCGCCAAGUCCAACAAAAUGCGUAAUAGUUCACAAUGGUACGAAUUAAGAAACAUUUAUUCCAUGUCAUAACAGUCACAUGUUCAACGCAUCUUACGAAGCAGUUUUUUUUUUACAGACAACUUGAGUGCCAAGAUUGCGCCUCUCUGUAACAAUUAAAGAAACUCCUGAGCUCAAAAUCUUCUUCUUAAGCCGUCUAAGGUGUCACAAGGUUUAAAGAAUGCGGAUCAUUGCGGUCUGCUUCGUUGGGCUUAAUGUGUUUUGGAAAAUAAAGAAGCACUAGUUUGAUUUUUCUUCAUUUGUUUUUCUAUAUAAUCUUUUUUUUUUCCUGCUCAAUGUCCAGGCUUUUAUCUGCUUAACCAUAAUGGUAGAUUAGUCGUUUUUAUUAUUCCUUUGUUGCAUUUUUUUUCAAAUUUUCUUGUGCCUUUGUAAUCAGAUUUAUUUUGGGUGGGGGAGUUUACAAUCCAUGAAUCUAUUAAUCAGGGAUAUUGACAAAAAUUAAAUUACUUUGACUCCAUUAAGAUGGACACCACAUAUGAAUAUAAUCUGUAUGAAUGUGGGUAUAGACUAAAGGGAGUUAAGAUGUUGAUUGACCAUUUUAUAAAGAGAAAUUCAAAGAUUCUGGUCGGUUUAACCAGAACCGGUUAGGAUAAGAAACGUGUCAAUUAAUUUAUUUGGCGGCACUUUCUAGAAGCGUACAACAGAGUUAGAGACCGUGUGGGGCUCUCCCUUCCGCUUAUACGACGCCGUAAGACGAAUCUUUGAAAUGUUCCAAUCAGGUUGCCUUUAUUAAAUCACCUCUCUGAACCAUUGCUUUCAAAAAAAGUUUUCAGAUUUGAGCUUACCGACAAAAAAAAAAAAGAAAUUCCGAGCUUCCUGGAGAAGAAGCAGCGGCGACUUGCCUUUCAUUCGUUUUCGUAUGUGAUCGCUCCCUCGCAUCAAGAUUCGAAAUUCUUCAAGAUUUGGUCUUCAAGAUUCGAAAUUCUUAUGUUCGAUUUGUAAAAUAUUUGUUUUUGAGGUUUCUUUGUUCUUCUGUUUCAGGUGGUUAACUCUGUUUCUGAGGAUAUUUAGAGAUAUGGCUGAGGUAUAGUCUCUCUCUUUUUCAUCUCUUGUUAAAAGUUAAUUGGUAUCUUGCUUCGUUUGUUAAUUAGAUUCAAUGUGAGAUAUGUCAGGAAGCGCAUAAGGUUACUCUGAAUGUCUACGACCUGAGCAGAGGCUUGGCUCGCCAGCUCUCUGCUUCACUCUUGGGAAAAGUCAUCGAAGGUGUCUGGUCAGUUCCAUCUCUCUCUCUCUCUCUCUCUCUCCUACACACAUUCUCACAAGUUAUCAAUUUGAGUGAAAGGUGAAAACUUUAACCCUUUUUGCUGGGUUUAGUCUUCAAAGGCUUACCCCUUUCUUGAACAAGAUUUGCAAAAUUAACCUACUUUAGAAUAUUGCCAUGUCUCUAUGCGUAUUAAAACCAUUUAGGCAUUAACUGUUACUUUGUUAGGAAGCAGUUUGUAGUCUAAAGCUGGGCUAUUCCUUUUCUCAGGCACACGGGAAUAGUUGUGUAUGGGAACGAGUACUUUUUCGGAGGAGGGAUACAGCAUUUACCUGCUGGUACAACUCCGUACGGAGCACCACUACGAAGCGUAGAGAUGGGUGAGACACAUGUUCCUAAAGACGUGUUCGAGAUGUACUUGGAGGAGAUCAGUCCUCGCUACACCGCUGAGUCCUACAAUUUGCUUACUCACAACUGCAACAACUUCAGCAGCGAGGUGUCUCAGUUUCUUGUUGGUAAAGGCAUCCCAGACUACAUUCUCCAGCUUCCCAGUGAGGUCAUGAACAGCCCCAUGGGUGGUCUUCUAAGUUAGUAGCUCUUAACUUGGCUAAACCUCUCUUGACCCCUUGGAUCCUAAUUUUUAUAUCCUUAUUUGCAGUGCCUAUGGUACAAAACCUGGAAGCAACUCUUAGAGCCGGCGCUGUUCCUAACGCUCCACAGUUUAGGCCUCAGCCACAACCUCUUGGAGCUUCUAGCAAAGACGAAGGUCCAAAACCAUCUAACAAACUUGAGAAAGCUUCCGAGUCACCGGUUGUUGUUCAACCUUCGGCUAGUAAACAGAAGGUGAAAGAGGACCCAUUGGGUGAUGCUAGGACCAAGAUUCAGGAAGAGAUUACUCGUGAGUUUGCUUCUCUCAUGGCACAAGGCACACUGAGAGCAAGUGAAGCAGCUACUAUAGCUACCAAAAGAGUGAUGCAAAAGUAUGGGCAUCUCAAUGUAUCUGCUUAGAGUCAUAACAAAACAGAAUGAAACCGUUUAUUAUUGCAAUUGUAUUGGAACCGAGGCCAUUGAGUUACUAUUUCUCUAGCUGCAUUUGUAUUCAACAAUUUAGAAAACAAUUAGGACACUAGAGUCUCAGGUUCCAACUCAAUAGCUGUCUUUUUGGAUUCUGAAGGAAUAUUAAUGCCUGCAAAGCCGACCAUUACAGCAGCAGCUCCAAUGUAGUCGGUGAAGCUUGGUUUGUUCCCUGAUAAGCUGUCUACAUUGCCUGCCAAUGGAACCUGAAUGGUUAGCCCAGCCGUCGCCACCGUGGUUGUUGUCAGAAGUACUGCCUUCCCCCAUAGGUAGUCACUGAGCACAUUAUCUAACAAACCUGAAAACGCAAGACACACAUCAGCAUCCCAACAUUUACAAGUUAUGUGGUUUGGCAUACCUUUGCCAACAACUAGACCAAACUGUUCCAAGGUUAGCGCGUCGAAGCGUUCUCGCUUUGUGAAGUUGAGUAAUAGAGCAACAGGUAGGAAGAUGAAGAAGUUGAAGAGACCUAGAAACCCAAGAAGCUGAGCCAUACUGAAGCUGCCACUUCUCUCAUCGUCAUCUGGAAGCUUUUUGCGUAUAAGAGUGAUGUAGACAGCGUAUAGCGCCGCUGAGACCAGAGAGAGGAUAUCUCCAAGAAGUGGGUUUUUAGCUGUUGCAGUUGAGUCAGAUUCUGAGUCACCAAUACUCACAAUGAUGGUACCAAACAUACAAAGAAGAACGCUGAAAAGUUUCAACCAGAUGAAUCUCUCUCCCAAGAAUAGUAGUGAUACUAAAAAGGUGAAAAGGCUUGAUGCACUGCUUAAGAUUGUAUUUGACUGCAAACUCACAAAAUGAAAAUGUCUUAGGAUGAUGUAACACCCGUCUCAAUCUUUUUUGAUGCUACUUAGGGCAUCUGCAUUGGGAGGCCCUUAAGGCAUCCCUUAGGGGAAAAGGGUGGGAACCGAGGAAGAAAGAGAAGGGAAAAGCCCUUAAGCAAGGGCUGUCCCUUGCUCUUCAAUAACCAAAAAAAAAAAAAGUAAAAUAAGGGACUCUCUCUCCCUCUCUCUUCAUCCCACCAAUGAAGAUGCCCUUAUGCUAAAAUGUCGAAUUAAACCGAAUUAUAAAAACAUAAAUUGUCGAUCGUCGAAUCGUAUAUGUAAUCUUGAUAAUUAUAAUAUCAUAAUAAAUCAGCUUUAAAAUAUAUAAAUAUAUAUAUAUAUAUAUAUAAAAACAUUUUUUAUUCAUUUAAUAAAAAUAAAGAGAAUGAAAUAAUUUUAAAAUUCACUAAACGAAAUAAACAGCAUCCAAAGAUUAUAUAAAACUGAAAUAAAAUCACUAUGAUCCUUAAAAAAAUCUCAAGUCAAGCAUAAGAGUUGUUUCAGAACAGAGCAACACAAGAAUGAGUUCUCAAUGUACUUACCGUAACUGUCGUGUACUUGAGAGAGAGAUUGAAAGUGAGCUGAGCCAUUGCGCGGAGAUGAUCCUCGUGUCUAUGGAACUGACAAAGAAUAUGCUUUAAGGGUAGCUGAAGACGCCUUCUAUAAGCAAAUGGCUGCCGAUUGUACCAAGUUCCAGAUUGCAAUUAAUGUUUAUGCAUUCAGUGAUAAGUACACUGACAUUGCCUCCUUAGGUACGAAGACGUUAUGAUUAUCACCGUUUUAUUUAUUUCAGGUGUUCGGAGUCAGUUAGUGGUGGCUUCUCCCGCCGUUCAAUAUUGCUGUUUUAAGUGCGAAAUUUAUGUAUUAAAAUGCAUUGGUUUUGUGUAGGGACUCUGGCAAAAUACACUGGUGGACAGGUGUACUACUAUCCAGGCUUCCAAUCAUCUAUCCAUGGAGAUAAGUUAAGACACGAGCUGGCUAGAGACCUUACAAGGGAAACUGCCUGGGAAUCCGUCAUGCGAAUAAGAUGUGGAAAAGGUUUAAAAGUUUAUGAUACAGUAUUCAUUUUUGUUACCUGUUAUGGCACUCAAGAUAUGCUAAAUUCGUUGGUAUCCUACAUGUCAUCUUAUAUAUUUUGGCCUGCAGGAAUUCGUUGCUCGUCCUACCAUGGGAACUUCAUGCUAAGGUCUGCCGACCUGCUUGCUCUUCCUGCUGUUGAUUGUGACAAAGCAUAUGCAGUGCAGCUAGCUCUGGAAGAGACAUUGCUAACAACCCCGACUGUGUAUUUCCAAGUCGCUUUACUGUAUCCUUUUGAAUAGUGUAUAUUUAAAACAUACUUGAGUUUAGAUUUUCAGCUGGUACAACACAUCAUGUGGUUUUAGUAAUCCUUAACAGAACUAAGAUAUACUGCUUCUUGCGGAGAGAGGCGUAUAAGGGUACACACAGCUAUUGCACCAGUGGUUACAGAUCUUGGAGAGAUGUAUAGACAAGCAGACACUGGCUCCAUUGUCUCUGUAUAUGCUAGAUUAGGUAAGGGAUACAUUCAAGUUUUUCCCAGUAGCAUUAUACAUUACUUUGGAUGUUAUUUGAUAACUGUUUUAAUUCUGCAGCAAUUGAGAAAACUUUGUCCGCAAAAUUGGAUGAUGCACGGAAUGCUAUACAGCAAAAGAUUGUUAAAGCCCUCAGAGAAUAUCGUAAUCUUCACUCGGUGCAGCAUCGGUUGGGGUCUAGAUUAAUAUACCCAGAGUCUCUGAAGUUCUUGCCAUUGUACGGAUUGGCCAUUUGUAAGUCCACACCUCUUCAUGGUGGACCAGCUGAUGCUUCACUUGACGAACGAAGUGCGGCAGGCUUCACCAUGAUGGCCCUGCCUGUCAAAAAGCUAUUGAAGCUGUUAUAUCCCAGUUUAUUCCGUGUUGACGAGUGGCUCUUAAAG
rnacentral:lncRNA from 1 species